rnacentral:rRNA from 1 species
CGCCUGGGGAGUGCGGCCGCAAGGUUAAAACUCAAAUGAAUUGACGGGGGCCCGCACAAGCGGUGGAGCAUGUGGUUUAAUUCGACGCAACGCGAAGAACCUUACCUGGCCUUGACAUCCAGAGAGCUUUCCAGAGAUGGAUUGGUGCCUUCGGGAACUCUGAGACAGGAGCUGCAUGGCCGUCGUCAGCUCGUGUCGUGAGAUGUUGGGUUAAGUCCCGUAACGAGCGCAACCCCUAUCCCUGGUUGCUAGCAGGUAAUGCUGAGAACUCCAGGGAGACUGCCGGUGUCAAACCGGAGGAAGGUGGGGAUGACGUCAGGUCAUCAUGGCCCUUACGGCCAGGGCUACACACGUGCUACAAUGGCGCGUACAGAGGGCUGCCAACUCGCGAGAGUGAGCCAAUCCCUUAAAACGCGUCGUAGUCCGGAUCGGAGUCUGCAACUCGACUCCGUGAAGUCGGAAUCGCUAGUAAUCGCGAAUCAGAAUGUCGCGGUGAAUACGUUCCCGGGCCUUGUACACACCGCCCGUCACACCAUGGGAGUGGAUUGCACCAGAAGUAGUUAGUCUAACCUUCGGGAGGACGAUUACCACGGUGUGGUUCAUGACUGGGGUGAAGUCGUAACAAGGUAACCGUA